CAGUCAAGAAUUACUGAGAACAGUGUUCUUCAACGUACCAUCUUGAGGAGAAUGAGAAGAUGUGAAAAUGAGAUCAACACCAGAAGCAUGGAAAAAUACUAUCAUAGAAAAGAACAUGCUAAAUAACAGGGAAUCCACAAUCAACAAGUUGCAAAGCUGAAACUAUUAUUUGGAAAAAUCUCCCUCACAACAAAAAGCCAGAGUGCAAGAGAAAUUCUCAUUCACAUACAUGACACUUCCAGAGUGAAAAAGAUGUGAUGAAGAACUCCUGAUUUUAAUUGCAAGGCAACUCAGAACAGACCAUAGAUGGAAUAGGUCAACUUAACUAUAAAGCCAGCU